rnacentral:rRNA from 1 species
GACGAACGCUGGCGGCGUGCUUAACACAUGCAAGUCGAACGGAAAGGCCCUGCUUUUGUUGGGUGCUUGAGUUGCGAACGGGUGAGUAACACGUGAGUAACCUGCCCUUUACUUUGGGAUAACUUCAGGAAACUGGGGCUAAUACCGGAUAGGAGUUCCUGCUGCAUGGUGGUGGUUUGAAAGUUUCGGCGGUUGGGGAUGGACUCGCGGCUUAUCUGCUUUUUGGUGGGGUAGUGGCUUACCAAGGCUUUGACGGGUAGCCGGCCUGAGAGGGUGACCGGCCACAUUGGGACUGAGAUACGGCCCAGACUGCUACGGGAGGCAGCAGUGGGGAAUAUUACACAAUGGGCGGAAGCCUGAUGCAGAAACGCCGCGUGCGGGAUGACGGCCUUCGGGUUGUAAACCGCUUUCGCCUGUGACGAAGCGUGAGUGACGGUAAUGGGUAAAGAAGCACCGGCUAACUACGUG